AUUGAACGCUGGCGGCAUGCCUUACACAUGCAAGUCGAACGGCAGCACGGGGGCAACCCUGGUGGCGAGUGGCGAACGGGUGAGUAAUGCAUCGGAACGUGCCCAGUAGUGGGGGAUAACCCGGCGAAAGCCGGGCUAAUACCGCAUACGACCUACGGGUGAAAGCGGGGGACCGUAAGGCCUCGCGCUAUUGGAGCGGCCGAUGUCUGAUUAGCUAGUUGGCGGGGUAAAGGCCUACCAAGGCGACGAUCAGUAGCUGGUCUGAGAGGACGACCAGCCACACUGGGACUGAGACACGGCCCAGACUCCUACGGGAGGCAGCAGUGGGGAAUUUUGGACAAUGGGCGCAAGCCUGAUCCAGCCAUGCCGCGUGCGGGAAGAAGGCCUUCGGGUUGUAAACCGCUUUUGGCAGGAACGAAACGGCGCAAGCUAAUACCUUGCGCUAAUGACGGUACCUGCAGAAUAAGCACCGGCUAACUACGUGCCAGCAGCCGCAGUAA
rnacentral:rRNA from 1 species